rnacentral:rRNA from 1 species
UACGAAGGGGGCUAGCGUUGUUCGGAAUUACUGGGCGUAAAGCGCGCGCAGGCGGUUCGAUAAGUUGGGGGUGAAAUCCCUGGGCUCAACCCAGGAGUGGCCUUCAAGACUGUCGAGCUAGAGGACGAGAGAGGUGAGUGGAAUUCCCAGUGUAGAGGUGAAAUUCGUAGAUAUGCGGAGGAACACCGAUGGCGAAGGCAAUCCCCUGGACCUGUACUGACGCUCAUGCACGAAAGCGUGGGGAGCAAACAGG